AAAUGCACAUCGAGCCCACAGAGGGUGAAAGCCUACAAUGGUCUACCUGACGGCCAGCAUGCAGCCUUGAGACUCAGUGAAACACUGUAUAACUUCCCUCCACAAAGAACAUUUCAAUCAAGAAGUAAAAAUAUCAGUCCCAUAAGGGGGAUAGAGUCAGUAGAAAUUAAGAAAUAAAGCAGCAGUAUUUUAUUACAAGCAUAUUAUACUUUGGAAUAAAGGAAAAAAAUUGUAAUUUAAAUUUCCUCAGUGCAUGCCUUCUUUUUCGUUCAAAACACAGAAUUGUAGAAAUGAGGCCUGCACAGUUCAGAUGAAGAAUUAAAUUCUUCAAGUAAAAUAGCAACAUAGAGUGGAAGACACUUAUAUACGCAACAUUGAGCAGAAUCUGACUAAAGGAGGAGAAGAAAAUGUUUAAUCUUUUCACAAAGAGGACUAAAACACUGACACCAAAAAGAGCAUUGGAGAUAAAAUCAUGGUAACAGUUACUGUUCUUAACAAAUAGGAUAUAAUUUUGUGAAAUAAUGAGAUUAUAAUACAAGGAGUUGCUGAUAAAACUGUUACAGCAGAAAAUGGAUAAAUCAUUAAAUAUAAUGAGAUUUAACUAUCACUGGGAGAGAAAUGAUAUGUAAUUAGAAAAAGGAACAGAAUACAAAAAAGAAAGCCAUGUUUCCAUCCAUGGUUCCACAUUCGUAGGAGUCUGGUAAUAAAGAGGAAAUUAUCUGAGCCUGUUAAUAAAUUAUAGACACCAUUUCCAGUAAUUACAGUAACAAUAGUCUCCCCAAAUCCAAGCUUACGUCCUAUCAACCCUUCAUUUUAUUUAACAAACACCUGUAUAACAUCCUGUGCAUAGAAUUACACUAAACAUUUGAUAAAUAUUAACUCAUUUUCGAUGAUUAAGCUUCUGCCGUUCAUCUGGCAAUUAUGAGGUUCACAGAAGACAUGAAAAGGCACAAGACGUUGUCAUCUGUGCCCUUGCAAUGAUUCACAUUUCCUAGGCUUCGUCCUGCCUCAAGAACAUCAGUGAGAUUGAACAAGGCUCACUUACAGGACCCCACUUAACCACAGUUACCUCUUCUAUGACCCUGUUUCUAGACAUUCACACUUUGAGGAGUUAUUCUGUUUCCUGAAUCCUGAGUCUGUCUUCCAAGGUAUUUAUACCUUCAAAUCACUGACGACGACGCCUUUCCAUCGGGGCCGGAAGCUCAGGAAGGUCAUGUCCCUGAUUUAUCCUCUGGCCAUGGUGUCUCCUCUUGGCAUUUAUGAAAAUGCCUGGGUAAGCCCUGUAGUGACCACGUUAUAGAAUCUCUCCCUUCAAAGAUGUCAGUUCAAGGGUUUAUGCUGGGCUGUCUCCAAGCUCUUUGAUGAUUUGAUCCAACACCUCAAAGAAGGAGGCAUUGUAUUAAUCAAGACCAUCAAAUAGCCUAUAUUGCAAUAUAAAAUAUUAUUAGACCACUACUAGAUAUAGAAAAUGGAGAAUAUUUCAGGGAACUUACUUAACUUUCUCACUUAGGCUUAUGAUUAAUAUUAUUGGGUAAGGAAAGCCCCUAUGCAAAAGUAGGCAUGGCUGAGCAUGAACACAAAUACCACAUCAAAUAUCUGCUUUCCAUGGCUUGUAUAAAAUUCUGUCAUCUCUGAACACAAGCCUAGGUCCUCCUCAAGAACAGUCAGUGCCCAGCGGGGCAGUGGUGGUGCAUGCUUUUUAAUCCCAGCACUUGGGAGGCAGAGGCAGGCAGAUCUCUGUGAGUUCAAGGCCAAC